GUGAACAACGUGCCCCAAAGACCGGGAUAGUUAUUGGAAACGAUGGGUAAUACCGGAUGUGGUGUUUUUAACUCAUGUUAGGAACAUUAAAUGGUUUUUCGCUUUGGGAGCGGUUCACGGCCUAUCAGGUAGAUGGUGGGGUAAUGGCCUACCAUGCCGACGACGGGUAGCGGGUCUGAGAGGAUGAUCCGCUCGAGUGGGACUGAGACACGGCC
rnacentral:rRNA from 1 species